ACAUGGUAGACAACCUGAAGAUUGGAGGUACUCUGGGUGACAGUGAUCAUGAUCUGAUUAGAUCCACUGUCCACUGAAAGGCUGGGAAUUCAGAAUCAGCAGAUCAAAAGCCCCAGACUUCAGGAAGGCAUACUUUGGUAACUCAGGAGUCUAGUUAGAGAGGCCCUCUGCAACCAGCAACUGGACAAUUUGGGAAUUCAGGAACGGUGGUGCUUCUUUAAGAGGCCAAUUCCCACUGCUCAAACAGAGGCCACCCCCACAUGGUCAAAAAGUUGGAAAGGUGCCAAGAGACCCACGUGGCUCAACAGGAAUAUUAGGGCACUUUUGAAAAAGAAAAAAGAAGUAUAGAAGCAAUCAAAAAAUGGUUCAGCAACCAGAGCGGAGAACAUUUUU